rnacentral:sRNA from 1 species
CUCCCCUUCCAGCAGCUUCACAGAAGAUGGUUGAUGAGAUGUGAUCUAUGAAGACUUUACUUCCACCACACCAGAUGCAGAGGACUCAAGUCAGAGGCCAGAUCAGGGACUCCAGAGACCUCCUCCUGAAGGACUCCUACCUAGAACCCCUGGUGAUAGUGGUAACCAAGAUGAUGGUCCUCAGCAGAGACCACCACAACCAGGAGGCCAUCACCGCCAUCCUCCCCCACCUCCUU